rnacentral:misc_RNA from 1 species
GAUGAAGAACGUAGCGAAAUGCGAUACUUGGUGUGAAUUGCAGAAUCCCGUGAACCAUCGAGUCUUUGAACGCAAGUUGCGCCUCAAGCCAUUAGGUUGAGGGCACGUCUGCCUGGGCGUCACAUAUCGUUGCCUGAUGCCAGUUUCCUCGUGAUGGGUGACUGUGCAGGGCGAAUGAUGGCUUCCCGUGAGCAUUGUUGCCUCAUGGUUGGUUGAAAAUUGAGUCCUUGGUAGGGAGCGGCGUGAUAGAUGGUGUUUGAGUGACGAACGAGACCCAAUCAUGUGAGACCCCUACCGAAUUUGGCCUUCAUGACCCACAUGCGUCUUUGGAACGCUCAUGACGAGACCUCAGGUCAGGCGGGGCUACCCGCUGAGUUUAAGCAUAUCAAUAAGCGGAGGA